GGGGGUGCACUGGCUUCGACUUGGAAAUGAAGAGUAAGUGGCAUGCAGAGGAUUCUGGUUGGCCUCUUUAAAAAACCGGAAGCGACAUAAACGCUAAAAAUGAAACAAAAAUCGUUAAGGUUGACUUUGCUCCAGUAGCAGAGCAGUCUUACGCAUGUGCUGCAUAAGCGAAAGCUUAAGUAGUCCGAUACCUUGAGAUAUGACCAAGGGUUUUGAGAGUAUCGUUAUUUACUUGGUAUGAUAUAGUUUUUGAUUCUCUAGGAGAUUAUAUCGAGAUUUAUAGAGGAGCUCUUAUUCUAUGGCGUGGUCCUUUUCGCUGGAAUAAGUGUAAUAUAAAAGGAAUAAGCAUGUAGAUAUUUAUUUAGAGUUUGCUAAGGACGAGAGUUCGAAUCUCUCCACCUCCAACA
rnacentral:tmRNA from 1 species